GAUGAACGCUGGCGGCGUGCCUAAUACAUGCAAGUCGAGCGAACAGAUGAUGAGCUUGCUCCUCUGACGUUAGCGGCUGACGGGUGAGUAACACGUGGAUAACCUACCUAUAAGACUGGGAUAACUUCGGGAAACCGGAGCUAAUACCGGAUAAUAUAUUGAACCGCAUGGUUCAAUAGUGAAAGACGGUUUUGCUGUCACUUAUAGAUGGAUCCGCGCCGCAUGAGCUAGUUGGUAAGGUAACGGCUUACCAAGCCAACGAUGCGUAGCCGACCUGAGAGGACGACCAGCCACACUGGGACUGAGACACGGCCCAGACUCCUACGGGAGGCAGCAGUGGGGAAGGUUGGACAAUGGGCGCAAGCCUGAUCCAGCCAUGCCGCGUGCGGGAAGAAGGCCUUCGGGUUGUAAACCGCUUUUGUCAGGGAAGAAAAGGUUCUGGCUAAUACCUGGGACUCAUGACGGGACCUGAAGAAUAAGCACCGGCUAACUACGUG
rnacentral:rRNA from 1 species